AUUGAACGCUAGCGGGAUGCCUUACACAUGCAAGUCGAACGGAGUGGCGAACGGGUGAGUAAUGUAUCGGAACGUGCCCAGUAGCGGGGGAUAACUACGCGAAAGCGUAGCUAAUACCGCAUACUAUUUGAGCGGCCGUUCUCGGAUUAGCUAGUUGGUGGGGUAACGGCUCCCCAAGGCGACGAUCCGUAGCUGGUUUGAGCGGACGACCAGCCACACUGGGACUGAGACACGGCCCAGACGCGUACGGGAGGCAGCAGUGGGGAAUAUUGAACAAGGGGCGCAAGCCUGAUGCAGCAAUGCCGCGUGUGUGAAGAAGGCCUUCGGGUUGGAAAGCACUGUCAGCGGGGAGGCGUUACCCGCAGAAGAAGCACCGGCUAACUCCGUGCCAGCAGCCGCGGUAAUAC
rnacentral:rRNA from 1 species